rnacentral:rRNA from 1 species
AUUGAACGCUGGCGGCAGGCCUAACACAUGCAAGUCGAACGAGUGGCGGACGGGUGAGUAAUGCCUGGGAAACUGACGGAUGGAGGGGGAUAACUACUGGAAACGGUAGCUAAUACCGCAUACUAUCAGAUGUGACCAGAUGGGAUUAGCUUGUGGGUGGGGUAACGGCUCACCAAGGCGACGAUCCCUCGCUGGGCUGAGAGGAUGACCAGCCACACUGGAACUUAGACACGGUCCAGACGCCUACGGUAGGCAGGAGUGGGGAAUAUUGCACAAGGGGCGCAAGCCUGAUGCAGCCAUGCCGCGUGUAUGAAGAAGGCCUUCGGGUUGUAAAGUACUUUCGUCGGGGAAGCGGUACCUGCAGAAGAAGCACCGGCUAACUCCGUGCCAGCCGCCGCGGUAAUUC